UUGAAACACUAGUUCUUGUCCGAUCACCGAACUUAAGCAACGUCAUACCUGGUUAGUACCUGGAUGGGCAAUCACUUGGGAAUACCAGGUGCUGUAAG